rnacentral:rRNA from 1 species
AUUGAACGCUGGCGGCAGGCCUAACACAUGCAAGUCGAGCGAGAGGCGGCCGGGGGUGUAAUGUGUGGGAGACUGCCUGCUGUGGGGGGGUAAAUCCUGGAAACGGUAGAUAAUAUAGCAUACCCUCAGGUGUGCCCAGAUGGGAGUAGCUAGUGGGUGGGGGAACGGCUCACCUAGGCGACGAACCCUAGCUGGUCUGAGAGGAUGACCAGCCACACUGGAACUGAGACACGGUCCAGACUCCUACGGGAGGCAGCAGUGGGGAAUAUUGCACAAUGGGCGCAAGCCUGAUGCAGCCAUGCCGCGUGUGUGAAGAAGGCCUUCGGGUUGUAAAGCACUUUCAGCGGGGAGGCGUUACCCGCAGAAGAAGCACCGGCUAACUCCGUGCCAGCAGCCGCGGUAAUUC